GGAAUAAGAGGCCAUAUUAUCCCCUGGUUUUAACUGAAGGCAUUGUGGUGACAAGACUGAGCCAGGUUCACGCAGAGCUGGGAGGCAGGAGCAGGGACGCGCAUGAAAUUUGAUGCCAUGACUCAAUUGGGAGACCUCCCUUGGGAGAUCAAUCCCCUGUCCUCCUGCUCUCUGCUCCGUGAGAAAGAUCCACCUACGACCUCAGGUCCUCAGACCGACCAGCCCAAGGAACAUCUCACCAAUUUCAAAUCCAGUA
rnacentral:lncRNA from 10 species